rnacentral:rRNA from 1 species
GCAAGUCGAACGAUGAAGCUGGAGCUUGCUCUAGUGGAUUAGUGGCGAACGUGUGAGUAACACGUGAGCAAUCUGCCCUUGACUCUGGGAUAACUGCGGGAAACUGUAGCUAAUACCGGAUACGACACCUUGGGGCAUCCCGAGGUGUGGAAAGAAUUUCGGUCAAGGAUGAGCUCGCGGCCUAUCAGCUUGUUGGUGAGGUAAAAGCUCAACAAGGCGACGACGGGUAGCCGGCCUGAGAGGGUGACCGGCCACACUGGAACUGAGAUACGGUCCAGACUCCUACGGGAGGCAGCAGUGGGGAAUAUUGCACAAUGGGCGAAAGCCUGAUGCAGCAACGCCGCGUGAGGGAUGAAGGCCUUCGGGUUGUAAACCUCUUUUAUCAGGGAAGAAGCGAAAGUGACGGUACCUGAAGAAAAAGCACCGGCUAACUACGUGCCAGCAGCCGCGGUAAUACGUAGGGUGCAAGCGUUGUCCGGAAUUAUUGGGCGUAAAGAGCUCGUAGGCGGUUUGUCGCGUCUGCUGUGAAAAUCCAAGGCUCAACCUUGGACCUGCAGUGGGUACGGGCAGACUAGAGUGCGGUAGGGGAGAUGGGAAUUCCUGGUGUAGCGGUGGAAUGCGCAGAUAUCAGGAGGAACACCAAUGGCGAAGGCACAUCUCUGGGCCGUAACUGACGCUGAGGAGCGAAAGCGUGGGGAGCGAACAGGAUUAGAUACCCUGGUAGUCCACGCCGUAAACGGUGGGUGCUAGUUGUGGGCCACAUUCCACGUGGUCCGUGACGAAGUUAACACAUUAAGCACCCCGCCUGGGGAGUACGGUCGCAAGACUAAAACUCAAAGGAAUUGACGGGGGCCCGCACAAGCGGCGGAGCAUGCGGAUUAAUUCGAUGCAACGCGAAGAACCUUACCAAGGCUUGACAUAU